CGGACGGUAACGCCUAAUCCUGCCGCCGCCCGUGGUACCUGGACCUCAGGCAGAGAGCGGGGGACCCACACGUUCCUCGGUGCAUGACACCUCGGGGUGAAGCCGCCCAGUGCGGCCGGGCUCCUCGGCCCGAACCCGACAGCUCACCUCGUCGGCGUGGAGGAAACGACAG
rnacentral:sRNA from 1 species